UGGGGAAUUUUGCGCAAUGGAGGAAACUCUGACGCAGCGACGCCGCGUGGGUGACGAAGGCCUUCGGGUUGUAAAGCCCUGUCGGCUGGGAACAAGAUAGUCGUGCUAAUACCACGAUUGUUUGAGGGUACCAGCAAAGGAAGCACCGGCUAACUCUGUGCCAGCAGCCGCGGUAAUACAGAGGGUGCUAGCGUUGUUCGGAAUUACUGGGCGUAAAGCGCACGUAGGCGGCUUACCAAGUCAGAUGUGAAAUUUCGGGGCUUAACUCCGAACGUGCAUUUGAAACUGGUAGGCUAGAGUACAUUAGAGGUUGGUGGAAUACACAGUGUAGAGGUGAAAUUCGUAGAUAUUGUGUGGAACACCGGUGGCGAAGGCGGCCAACUGGGAUGUAACUGACGCU
rnacentral:rRNA from 1 species